CGGAAGUUUCCCCCAAAAAUUUUCCGCCCAAAAUCGAAAUAUUCAGAAACCCUUCCCCCCUAAUUCUCUUUCUAAUUCUUUUUCCCUCCCCCUCUCUUUCUCUGCGCAGUAACGAUUCCCCCUCGUCCUUCCUCUCCGACAAGUCGGCCAAGAUUUUCAUCGCCAGCCACCGGGGCCUCGUCGGAUCCGCCAUCUACCGCCGCCUCAAAACCCUAGGCUUCACCGACCUCAUCGUCGCCUCCCACUCGGUGCUCGACCUCACCCGCCAGUCCGACAUCGAGUCCUUCUUCCUCCUCGUCAGAUUGACGAACGCUUCAUUUGGUUUGUAUUCUGUGCGAGUGAUAGAUGCCUGAUAUUUUGUCCUUCAUUGUUCUCUUGCUUGUUCUCGUGCAUUGAGAGCUUCAUUUAGGGGCAUUCCUCACUUUCCUUUUUUGGGUAAAGGGAGAAUUUGUUCUGUGCUUACAAUGGCUAAGUAGGAGCAUGAGAGAGAAUUGAAGAGUUUUAAUCAAUUUUUGUUCUCCAUUGUUUUUUUAUUUUUGUUCAGGGUUCAGAGCGGAAGUUGGCUUCUCCUACACAUGGGCACUUGUACUCGCACCAGCAAGGUUGAAUUCUUACAAUGGCUUUGAUUUUGUUUUAUUUCCUCUUCCCUUGAACGUUCGGUGCAUGAUCCUUCUCAAUAUUUUGCUUCAUUUUUGGCUUUAAAGAAACAUUUGGCUUCCAUCAAAUUUGUCUGUUAGUGGGUUCUCUUGGUCCACAUCUUUUUCUCAUCUAUGAUGUAAGAAUGAGGGAUAUUAAUUCGAGUAACUUUUUUAGUUAAUUGCUGCCCUCUAAAGUUUCCUGUUAUAUCAUAAUUCUACUUCAUUUUUUUCCAGCUGUAUAUAUUUGUGCACUGGCAUUAAUGGUCCCAUAAGCAGCAUAAGGAAAUUUGCACCUGUGUGCUGGCGUCAAUCAAUAAAUAGAUUCAUAGCACAUCUUUCGAUGGCGUUAUCAACAGAACAGAGCAUCACAGUGGACUCUUAAAAGGGAUGUAUUUAGUAUAUCAGAACCGAGAUAUCUGACUUCUGUUGAUUGGAUGUUUGGCAAGGAACUCAGCUCUUAGCCAUAGAUGUUGCUGUCGCGACAGGAUUACUCAAAAGGGCUCUUACUCGUGAUGAACUCACGGAGAAGGAAAAGAAGGCUCUCCGAAGAACUCUUACUGAUAUGGCAUUAGUUGUUCCCAUAGGAAUUCUCAUGCUUCUUACGGAGAAGGAAUUCUCAAGGAGAAGGAAAAGAAGGCUGGAUCUGUUGAGGCAGCUUGAGAAAGUGAAAGAGAUGGAGAUCGCUGAUAAUGGCUGUGAUGAAAUGACAGAAGCAAUAAUUAGCUCAAGCAGCAACAAUCCACAAUAAUUUCAUUUGCUGAUAUUAAAUCAGCAAUGAUGAUACGUACUGAAAAUUGUACAAAUCAGUAUUGCCCAUUUCAUAUAGGUAUACUUUGAUUAUUUCACACAAAGGGCUGUUGAUUGGCCUUUGAAAGAGGUUGAAUUAAAAUUUUAGUCUAGGAAAGAAGUGUUAAGCUUCCUGUUCCCAUUUC